UACGUAGGUGGCAAGCGUUGUCCGGAUUUAUUGGGCGUAAAGCGCGCGCAGGUGGUUUCUUAAGUCUGAUGUGAAAGCCCCCGGCUCAACCGGGGGGACGCGCUGGAAACUGCGGGGCUUGAGUACAGGAGGGGAUGCCGGAAUUCCAGGUGUAGGGGUGAAAUCUGUAGAUAUCUGGAAGAACACCAAUGGCGAAGGCAGGCAUCUGGCCAUGUACUGACGCUGAGACGCGAAGGUGCGGGGAGCAAACAGG
rnacentral:rRNA from 1 species